rnacentral:rRNA from 1 species
CCAGAAAGUCACGGCUAACUACGUGCCAGCAGCCGCGGUAAUACGUAGGUGGCAGGCGUUAUCCGGAUUAUUGGGCGUAAGAGAGUGCAGGCGGUUUUCUAAGUCUGAUGUGAAAGCCUUCGGCUUAACCGGAGAAGUGCAUCGGAAACUGGAUAACUUGAGUGCAGAAGAGGGUAGUGGAACUCCAUGUGUAGCGGUGGAAUGCGUAGAUAUAUGGAAGAACACCAGUGGCGAAGGCGGCUACCUGGUCUGCAACUGACGCUGAGACUCGAAAGCAUGGGUAGCGAACAGGAUUAGAUACCCUGGUAG